rnacentral:rRNA from 1 species
CCUACGGGUGGCUGCAGUGGGGGAUAUUGCACAAUGGGGGAAACCCUGAUGCAGCGACGCCGCGUGUGGGAAGACGGUCUUCUGGAUUGUAAACCACUGUCCCCAGGGACGAAAAUGACGGUACCUGGGGAGGAAGCUCCGGCUAACUACGUGCCAGCAGCCGCGGUAAUACGUAGGGAGCAAGCGUUGUCCGGAAUUACUGGGUGUAAAGGGAGCGUAGGCGGGGAUGCAAGUUGGGUGUCAAAACUACCGGCUCAACCGAUAGUCGCACUCAAAACUGCAACUCUUGAGUGAAGUAGAGGCAGGCGGAAUUCCGAGUGUAGCGGUGAAAUGCGUAGAUAUUAGGAGGAACACCAGUGGCGAAGGCGGCCUGCUGGGCUUUUACUGACGCUGAGGCUCGAAAGUGUGGGGAGCAAACAGGAUUAGAUACCCGUGUAGUC